rnacentral:rRNA from 1 species
AGCAGCCGCGGUAAUUCCAGCUCCAAUAGCGUAUAUUAAAGUUGUUGCAGUUAAAAAGCUCGUAGUUGAAUUUCGGGGUUAGUAGGUUGGUCAUGCCACUGGUAUGUACUGGUCUCACUGAUUCCUCCUUCCUGAUGAGCCGUAAUGCCAUUAAUUUGGUGUUGCGAGGAAUCUGGACUGUUACUUUGAAAAAUUGAGUGUUUAAAGCAAGCUAACGCUUGAAUACAUUAGCAUGGAAUAAUGAAAUAGGACGUUCGAUCCUAUUUUGUUGGUUUCUAGGAUUGACGUAAUGAUUAAUAGGGAUAGUUGGGGGCAUUAGUAUUCAAUUGUCAGAGGUGAAAUUCUUGGAUUUAUUGAAGACUAACUACUGCGAAAGCACUUGCCAAGGAUGUUUUCAUUAAUCAAGAACGAAAGUUAGGGGAUCGAAGACGAUCAGAUACCG